GACGAACGCUGGCGGCGUGCUUAACACAUGCAAGUCGAACGGUGAAGGGGAGCUUGCUCCCUGGAUCAGUGGCGAACGGGUGAGUAACACGUGGGCAACCUGCCCCUGACUUCGGGAUAACGCUUCGAAAGAGGUGCUAAUACCGGAUAUGAACCCUGAGGGCAUCCUCGGGGUUGGAAAGUUUUUCGGUCAGGGAUGGGCCCGCGGCCUAUCAGCUUGUUGGUGAGGUAGUGGCUCACCAAGGCGACGACGGGUAGCCGGCCUGAGAGGGCGACCGGCCACACUGGGACUGAGACACGGCCCAGACUCCUACGGGAGGCAGCAGUGGGGAAUAUUGCGCAAUGGGCGAAAGACUGACGCAGCACCGCCGCGGGAGGGAUGAAGGCCUUCGGGUUGUAAACCUCUUUCAGCAGGGAAGAAGCGAAAGUGACGGUACCUGCAGAAGAAGCACCGGCUAACUACGUGCCAGCCGCCGCAGUAACAC
rnacentral:rRNA from 1 species